UCCAUCGAGCUCCACCCACCUCGAUUUCAGAAGCUGCUCAACCGGACGCAACCAUGCACCCAAGAAGAGCGAGCGCUCCAUCCUGGAGCUCGAGCAUAGCCUCUUCUCGCAAUAGCCAGUGCCUCCAUUUGAAGCGCGCCCGACCUCGACCACGAACGACCGGAGCCUCUGGAUACACCCUGCACCCCACGCCCUCCUCUCGCAGCUCCCUCUCUCCUGAUCUACUCUCUCGCGUGCAGCCAAGCAGCUCGCCGGAGCACCGACCCUGCAGCAGCUUUCGUCCCUGCCACCGAGCAACUAGGAACAAUAGCUCCUUGAAGGAACUCCAUGGCGCCACCAGCCCUCGAGCUCGUCGCCUCCUUUGCCUCAUGCCGCCCGGAUCCGUAGCUUGUGCCGCCAGGAUCCGCAGCCUCGUGCCGCCCCGACCUUUCCGACCGUCGCCCUCAUCCCACCGACGACGAGCCCCAUUGGUACCAGACGCCAAGCCGCGACACGUCCCAACAACCGCAUCCCUAACCAUGGCACAAAGCUACACUGUUUUGUUUUUCAGUUUCGUUAGAUUCACGCCAUGGUAUGGUCCAUCUAGCCCAAAUCCCAUGAUUUGUCAUAAGUUCGUUGUUAACCGAGCUAGUAAUUCCCACGUGUAGCAAUCCGAGGGGCUGGGGUUUGAAUCCAAGGUGCCCCAAUUUUGUUUUGCCUAUUUUGUUGUUGUUCUACAAGUCAACACCGGCCGCUCUUGAGUUA